UUAAGUUAUUAAGGGCGCACGGUGGAUGCCUUGGCACUAGAAGCCGAUGAAGGACGUUACUAACGACGAUAUGCUUUGGGGAGCUGUAAGUAAGCUUUGAUCCAGAGAUUUCCGAAUGGGGAAACCCAGCAUGAGUUAUGUCAUGUUAUCGAUAUGUGAAUACAUAGCAUAUCAGAAGGCACACCCGGAGAACUGAAACAUCUUAGUACCCGGAGGAAGAGAAAGAAAAUUCGAUUCCCUUAGUAGCGGCGAGCGAAACGGGAAGAGCCCAAACCAACAAGCUUGCUUGUUGGGGUUGUAGGACACUCUAUACGGAGUUACAAAGGACGACAUUAGACGAAUCAUCUGGAAAGAUGAAUCAAAGAAGGUAAUAAUCCUGUAGUCGAAAAUGUUGUCUCUCUUGAGUGGAUCCUGAGUACGACGGAGCACGUGAAAUUCCGUCGGAAUCUGGGAGGACCAUCUCCUAAGGCUAAAUACUCUCUAGUGACCGAUAGUGAACCAGUACCGUGAGGGAAAGGUGAAAAGCACCCCGGAAGGGGAGUGAAAUAGAACCUGAAACCGUGUGCUUACAAGUAGUCAGAGCCCGUUAAUGGGUGAUGGCGUGCCUUUUGUAGAAUGAACCGGCGAGUUACGAUUUGAUGCAAGGUUAAGCAGUAAAUGUGGAGCCGUAGCGAAAGCGAGUCUGAAUAGGGCGUUUAGUAUUUGGUCGUAGACCCGAAACCAGGUGAUCUACCCUUGGUCAGGUUGAAGUUCAGGUAACACUGAAUGGAGGACCGAACCGACUUACGUUGAAAAGUGAGCGGAUGAACUGAGGGUAGCGGAGAAAUUCCAAUCGAACCUGGAGAUAGCUGGUUCUCUCCGAAAUAGCUUUAGGGCUAGCCUCAAGUGAUGAUUAUUGGAGGUAGAGCACUGUUUGGACGAGGGGCCCCUCUCGGGUUACCGAAUUCAGACAAACUCCGAAUGCCAAUUAAUUUAACUUGGGAGUCAGAACAUGGGUGAUAAGGUCCGUGUUCGAAAGGGAAACAGCCCAGACCACCAGCUAAGGUCCCAAAAUAUAUGUUAAGUGGAAAAGGAUGUGGCGUUGCCCAGACAACUAGGAUGUUGGCUUAGAAGCAGCCAUCAUUUAAAGAGUGCGUAAUAGCUCACUAGUCGAGUGACACUGCGCCGAAAAUGUACCGGGGCUAAACAUAUUACCGAAGCUGUGGAUUGUCCUUUGGACAAUGGUAGGAGAGCGUUCUAAGGGCGUUGAAGCAUGAUCGUAAGGACAUGUGGAGCGCUUAGAAGUGAGAAUGCCGGUGUGAGUAGCGAAAGACGGGUGAGAAUCCCGUCCACCGAUUGACUAAGGUUUCCAGAGGAAGGCUCGUCCGCUCUGGGUUAGUCGGGUCCUAAGCUGAGGCCGACAGGCGUAGGCGAUGGAUAACAGGUUGAUAUUCCUGUACCACCUAUAAUCGUUUUAAUCGAUGGGGGGACGCAGUAGGAUAGGCGAAGCGUGCGAUUGGAUUGCACGUCUAAGCAGUAAGGCUGAGUAUUAGGCAAAUCCGGUACUCGUUAAGGCUGAGCUGUGAUGGGGAGAAGACAUUGUGUCUUCGAGUCGUUGAUUUCACACUGCCGAGAAAAGCCUCUAGAUAGAAAAUAGGUGCCCGUACCGCAAACCGACACAGGUAGUCAAGAUGAGAAUUCUAAGGUGAGCGAGCGAACUCUCGUUAAGGAACUCGGCAAAAUGACCCCGUAACUUCGGGAGAAGGGGUGCUCUUUAGGGUUAACGCCCAGAAGAGCCGCAGUGAAUAGGCCCAAGCGACUGUUUAUCAAAAACACAGGUCUCUGCUAAACCGUAAGGUGAUGUAUAGGGGCUGACGCCUGCCCGGUGCUGGAAGGUUAAGAGGAGUGGUUAGCUUCUGCGAAGCUACGAAUCGAAGCCCCAGUAAACGGCGGCCGUAACUAUAACGGUCCUAAGGUAGCGAAAUUCCUUGUCGGGUAAGUUCCGACCCGCACGAAAGGCGUAACGAUUUGGGCACUGUCUCAACGAGAGACUCGGUGAAAUCAUAGUACCUGUGAAGAUGCAGGUUACCCGCGACAGGACGGAAAGACCCCGUGGAGCUUUACUGUAGCCUGAUAUUGAAAUUCGGCACAGCUUGUACAGGAUAGGUAGGAGCCUUUGAAACGUGAGCGCUAGCUUACGUGGAGGCGCUGGUGGGAUACUACCCUAGCUGUGUUGGCUUUCUAACCCGCACNACUUAUCGUGGUGGGAGACAGUGUCAGGCGGGCAGUUUGACUGGGGCGGUCGCCUCCUAAAAGGUAACGGAGGCGCUCAAAGGUUCCCUCAGAAUGGUUGGAAAUCAUUCAUAGAGUGUAAAGGCAUAAGGGAGCUUGACUGCGAGACCUACAAGUCGAGCAGGGUCGAAAGACGGACUUAGUGAUCCGGUGGUUCCGCAUGGAAGGGCCAUCGCUCAACGGAUAAAAGCUACCCCGGGGAUAACAGGCUUAUCUCCCCCAAGAGUUCACAUCGACGGGGAGGUUUGGCACCUCGAUGUCGGCUCAUCGCAUCCUGGGGCUGUAGUCGGUCCCAAGGGUUGGGCUGUUCGCCCAUUAAAGCGGUACGCGAGCUGGGUUCAGAACGUCGUGAGACAGUUCGGUCCCUAUCCGUCGUGGGCGUAGGAAAUUUGAGAGGAGCUGUCCUUAGUACGAGAGGACCGGGAUGGACAUACCUCUGGUGUACCAGUUGUCGUGCCAACGGCAUAGCUGGGUAGCUAUGUGUGGACGGGAUAAGUGCUGAAAGCAUCUAAGCAUGAAGCCCCCCUCAAGAUGAGAUUUCCCAACUUCGGUUAUAAGAUCCCUCAAAGAUGAUGAGGUUAAUAGGUUCGAGGUGGAAGCAUGGUGACAUGUGGAGCUGACGAAUACUAAUCGAUCGAAGACUUAAUCAA
rnacentral:rRNA from 1 species